CCUACGGGAGGCAGCAGUGAGGAAUAUUCCACAAUGGGGGAAACCCUGAUGGAGCGAUGCCGCGUGCAGGAAGACGCUUUUCGGAGUGUAAACUGCUUUUAACAAGGAAGAUUAUGACGGUACUUGUAGAAUAAGGACCGGCUAACUACGUGCCAGCAGCCGCGGUAAUACGUAGGGUCCAAGCGUUAUUCGGAAUUACUGGGCGUAAAGCGUUCGUAGGCGGUUUGAUAAGUUGGAUGUGAAAUCCUGUGGCUCAACCACAUGGACUGUGUCCAAAACUAUCUGACUAGAGCAUAGUAGAGGCAAGUGGAAUUUGCGGUGUAGGAGUGACAUCCGUAGAUAUCGCAAGGAACACCAAUGGCGAAGGCAGCUUGCUGGGCUAUUGCUGACGCUCAGGAACGAAAGCGUGGGGAGCGAACGGGAUUAGAUACCCCGGUAGUCCACGCCGUAAACGAUGAUCACUAGCAGUAUGGAGAUUCGACCCUCUGUGUUGCCNCAGCUACGUACGUAGUAGAUCGCCGUCGGAGGUACGGCGGCGAGACGUAAACUACGAAGAGUAGUAGACGUGNGAGACGCGACGACGACGACGACGGAGGAGGAGG
rnacentral:rRNA from 1 species